GACGAACGCUGGCGGCGUGCUUAACACAUGCAAGUCGAACGAUGAAGCCGGAGCUUGCUCUGGUGGAUUAGUGGCGAACGGGUGAGUAACAAGUGAGUAACCUGCCCUUGACUCUGGGAUAAGCGUUGGAAACGACGUCUAAUACCGGAUACGAGCUGGGACCGCAUGGUCACUAGCUGGAAAGAACUUCGGUCAAGGAUGGACUCGCGGCCUAUCAGCUUGUUGGUGAGGUAACGGCUCACCAAGGCGACGACGGGUAGCCGGCCUGAGAGGGUGACCGGCCACACUGGGACUGAGACACGGCCCAGACUCCUACGGGAGGCAGCAGUGGGGAAUAUUGCACAAUGGGCGCAAGCCUGAUGCAGCAACGCCGCGUGGGGGACGACGGCCUUCGGGUUGUAAACCUCUUUUAGCAGGGAAGAAGCGAAAGUGACGGUACCUGCAGAAAAAGCACCGGCUAACUUCGUGCCAGCAGCCGCCGUAAGAC
rnacentral:rRNA from 1 species